rnacentral:rRNA from 1 species
GAUGAACGCUGGCGGCGUGCCUAAUACAUGCAAGUCGAGCGAAUGGAUUAAGAGCUUGCUCUUAUGAAGUUAGCGGCGGACGGGUGAGUAACACGUGGGUAACCUGCCCAUAAGACUGGGAUAACUCCGGGAAACCGGGGCUAAUACCGGAUAACAUUUUGAACCGCAUGGUUCGAAAUUGAAAGGCGGCUUCGGCUGUCACUUAUGGAUGGACCCGCGUCGCAUUAGCUAGGUGGUGAGGUAACGGCUCACCAAGGCAACGAUGCGUAGCCGACCUGAGCGGGUGAUCGGGCACACUGGGACUGAGACACGGCCCAGACUCCUACGGGAGGCAGCAGUAGGGAAUCUUCCGCAAUGGACGAAAGUCUGACGGAGCAACGCCGCGUGAGUGAUGAAGGCUUUCGGGUCGUAAAACUCUGUUGUUAGGGAAGAACAAGUGCUAGUUGAAUAAGCUGGCACCUUGACGGUACCUAACCAGAAGGCCACGGCUAACUACGUGCCAGCCGCCGCGGUAA